rnacentral:rRNA from 1 species
AUUGAACGCUGGCGGCAUGCUUUACACAUGCAAGUCGAACGGUAGCAGGCCUUCGGGUGCUGACGAGUGGCGAACGGGUGAGUAAUGCAUCGGAACGUGCCCAGAGGUGGGGGAUAACGCAGCGAAAGCUGUUCUAAUACCGCAUGUGAUCUGAGGAUGAAAGCGGGGGACCAGGCAGCAAUGUUUGGCCUCGCGCCUUUGGAGCGGCCGAUGUCAGAUUAGGUAGUUGGUGGGGUAAAGGCCUACCAAGCCGACGAUCUGUAGCUGGUCUGAGAGGACGAACAGCCACACUGGGACUGAGACACGGCCAAGACUCCUACGGGAGGCAGCAGUGGGGAAUUUUGGACAAUGGGCGCAAGCCUGAUCCAGCAAUGCCGCGUGCGGGAAGAAGGCCUUCGGGUUGUAAACCGCUUUUGUACGGAACGAAAAGGCUCUGGCUAAUACCUGGGGCUGAUGACGGUACCGUAAGAAUAAGCACCGGCUAACUACGUG